UACAGAGGGUGCAAGCGUUAAUCGGAAUUACUGGGCGUAAAGCGUGCGUAGACGGUUAUUUAAGUCAGGUGUGAAAGCCCCGGGCUUAACCUGGGAACUGCAUUUGUGACUGCAUAGCUGGAGUACGGCAGAGGGGGAUGGAAUUCCGCGUGUAGCAGUGAAAUGCGUAGAUAUGCGGAGGAACACCGAUGGCGAAGGCAGUCCCCUGGGCCUGUACUGACGCUCAUGCACGAAAGCGUGGGGAGCAAACAGG
rnacentral:rRNA from 1 species